GUGGCAGCCAUAUUGGUUUUAUGCGUGCGCUUAUAUUGCGCGCUAUCUAUAUAUCUUACCGUUAAAUGUACGUUUACAGAUUUAAUCGAGAUCUCUGCGAGGCUUUCAUAAUUAUGUAUGAUAUAGCUUGAUAUGCUGUUACUUCAAAUUGCUGUAAUUUCUAUUUAUAUUGACUGAAGUAGAGUACAAAAUAAAAUUAUUUGCUCUCUAAUUUUAAGGAUGUCGACCUGCAACUGAAAUUGAGUGAUAUUCGACUAUUUCAAUUUAGAUUCGCUAGUCAACAAAAUGAUUGCUCACUCCGAAAUAACGACUUUCAAGGAAUGGUCUUGCUGAGCACUGAGGAUGAAGAAAUGUUAUGUGGGGAGAAAAUGGGCUACUGGAAGUGGACCUUCUUAAACAAAGACGACUUUCACAAAAUGUUUAAAAGAUCACGGUCGCGGCAUCGAACCUUGGACGCUUCCCCUGCCACUGUCAGACACUCAAAUUGGAAUAGUAGUGUGCGCUACUCGAGCUGUUGAUAUAUGAGUUCUUCGGUGUUAUUUAUAUAAUUGUAAUAUGUAAUGACUGACAGUGCGAGAUAUCUUUUUUUGUUUCUAUUUGAUGUGUUUAGUGUUUGUGUUGCAUUCUAAUAUAAACCGCGUAUUAGUUUCGUGUCAAUUUUAAAUUUGAUAAGUUUAUCUUUAAACUGUAUUUAUUAGCAGUAAUAGUUACAUUUUGGUAUUAUCCAUAUAUUUAUUAUUGUAAUACUGUUGUAUAAUGCUGUUUCUUCCUCAUUGUAGCUUACAUAUAGGAUAGCAUACUUUGCUAUGAUCUUUAAUCACAGUUGACAAUACUUGAUUAGAGUUAAUGAUUGUACGCGUUUGAAAUCUUGAUUUGAUAUAAUCAUUAUAACCUUUACUAAUAUUCAGAUGAAUGAA